GACGAACCGUGCUAACGUUGUUCGGAAUCACUGGGCUUAAAGGGCGCGUAGGCGGUGUGUUAAGUCGGCGGUGAAAUACUUCAGCUCAACUGAAGAAUUGCCGCUGAAACUGGCAUGCUAGAGGGAGGUAGAGGUGCGUGGAACUUCCGGUGGAGCGGUGAAAUGCGUUGAUAUCGGAAGGAACACCUGUGGCGAAAGCGUCGCACUGGACCUCUUCUGACGCUGAGGCGCGAAAGCUAGGGUAGCGAACGGG
rnacentral:rRNA from 1 species